AUCCUACAAAUAAUUGUAGGGGCACUAUAUACAAAUUUCUGAGAAGUAUGUUAUCACAUGAUCAACAACGUUUAUGUCAAAAAAUGAUGUCUAUAUCAAUCAUCUCUAAUCACGUGACUUUCCCACCUUUUCCCAGAAAAAUGACUGUCAUCUUUCGCCUUCAGAAAGAAUCUACUCAGUAUUGUCGAAGUAUGAAUUGUAGACGAAUAAAAUCAAAACUGGCAACACUAAUUCAAUACAGAAUGCGUUCAUUGAUUUUUAAGUACAAGUAUUUUUACAGAUCAUUGCUUAUUUUCGUUGGAGAGA
rnacentral:lncRNA from 1 species